rnacentral:rRNA from 1 species
UACAGAGGGGGCAAGCGUUGUUCGGAAUUACUGGGCGUAAAGGGCGCGUAGGCGGCCUUCUAAGUCGAACGUGAAAUCCCCGGGCUCAACCCGGGAACUGCGUCCGAUACUGGAAGGCUUGAAUCCGGGAGAGGGAUGUGGAAUUCCAGGUGUAGCGGUGAAAUGCGUAGAUAUCGGGAGGAACACCAGUGGCGAAGGCGGCCGACUGGGCUGUCCCUGACACUGAGGUGCGAAAGCGUGGGGAGCGAACAGG